UGAUUUUAUUCUCCCAGCAUAGGACGAAUAUGCGUUUCGCCUUUUACCAAACGCAUCCGUGCUGGGGGACACUCACAAUGAGCCUAAAUGGCAAUUUUUGGAGCCUCAAUAAGUAUAAAUAGGU
rnacentral:snRNA from 1 species